rnacentral:tRNA from 1 species
GCCUGGGUGGCUCAGUCGGUUGAGCGUCCGACUUGGGCUCAGGUCAUGAUCUCACAGUUUGUGAGUUCAAGCCCCGCAUCAGGCU